AUUGAACGCUGGCGGCAGGCCUAACACAUGCAAGUCGAGCGAGCGGCGGACGGGUGAGUAAUGUCUGGGAAACUGCCUGAUGGAGGGGGAUAACUACUGGAAACGGUAGCUAAUACCGCAUACCAUCAGAUGUGCCCAGAUGGGAGUAGCUAGUAUGGGGGGUAACGGCUCACCUAGGCGACGAUUCCUAGCUGGUCUGAGAGGAUGACAAGACACACGGGAACGGAGACACGGUCCAUACUCCUAGGGGAGGCAGCAGGGGGGAAUAUUGGCCAAUGGGCGCAAGCCGGAUGCAGCCAUGCCGCGUGUGUGAAGAAGGCCUUCGGGUUGUAAAGCACUUUCAGCGGGGAGGCGUUACCCGCAGAAGAAGCACCGGCUAACUCCGUGCCAGCAGCCGCGGUAAUUC
rnacentral:rRNA from 1 species